GAUUAAUAUAAUGAACAUGAGUAUCUAUUCCUCCUGCUGUUACUAUUCUCCCUUCUCCUGCUAAUGCUUCAGUGCUAACACCAACAAUGAAAUCAACAUCAUCCAUUGUAUAUGGAUUUCCACCUUUUCCUAUAGCUAAUAUCUUUCCAUCUCUUAUUCCUAUAUCAGCCUUAUAUAUACCGGUAUAGUCAACUAUAGUGGCACCAGUUAUAAUGAGAUCCGCUACCAUUGGAUUGUCUCUUGUUUCAAUUGCAUUUUGCCCCAUACCAUCUCU
rnacentral:sRNA from 1 species